UACGUAGGGGGCAAGCGGUGUCCGGAAUCAUUGGGCGUAAAGAGCGUGUAGGCGGCUCGGUAAGUCCGCUGUGAAAGUCCAGGGCUCAACCCUGGAAUGCCGGUGGAAACUGUCGAGCUAGAGUCCGGAAGAGGCGAGUGGAAUUCCUGGUGUAGCGGUGAAAUGCGCAGAUAUCAGGAGGAACACCAAUGGCGAAGGCAGCUCGCUGGGACGGUACUGACGCUGAGACGCGAAAGCGUGGGGAGCAAACAGG
rnacentral:rRNA from 1 species